rnacentral:lncRNA from 1 species
UCUGAGGACUGAUAAUGGAGGAGAAUAUACCGGUAAUGAAUUUGAUAACUUCUGUCAAGAAGAAGGUAUCAAGAGGCAGUUCACUGUGGCAUACACUCCACAGCAAAAUGGAGUGGCAGAGCGGAUGAACAGAACAUUGUUAGAAAGAACAAGGGCAAUGUUGAGAACUGCGGGGUUAGCCAAGUCAUUUUGGGCAGAAGCAGUCAAAACUGCCUGUUAUGUGAUCAAUCGGUCGCCAUCAACCGCAAUUGAUCUGAAGACGCCUAUGGAAAUGUGGACUGGUAAACCAACUGAUUAUUCUCACUUACAUGUGUUUGGAAGUCCUGUGUAUGUUAUGUACAACACCCAAGAAACAUCAAAGUUAGAUCCAAAAUCCAAAAAAUGUAUUUUCUUAGGAUAUGCUGAUGGAGUGAAGGGGUAC